rnacentral:rRNA from 1 species
ACUCAAAUGAAUUGACGGGGGCCCGCACAAGCGGUGGAGCAUGUGGUUUAAUACGUCACUAACCGUAGAACCUUACCCAGGCUUGACAUCUGGUGUAAGUCCAUGAAAGUGGUACCCCUGUAUAGCAAUAUACAGCACCAAGACAGGUGUUGCAUGGCUGUCGUCAGCUCGUGUCGUGAGAUGUUGGGUUAAGUCCCGCAACGAGCGCAACCCUCAUCCGAUGUUGCCAGCGUGAAAGACGGGAACUCUUCGGAAACUGCCCGUGUAAGCGGGAGGAAGGUGGGGAUGACGUCAAGUCAGCAUGGCCCUUACGCCUGGGGCUACACACAUGCUACAAUGGACGUGAACAAAGGGCAGCAAUACCGCGAGGUGGAGCUAAUCUCAAAAAUACGUCCUCAGUUCGGAUUGCAGUCUGCAACUCGACUGCAUGAAGUCGGAAUCGCUAGUAACCGCAGGUCAGCUAAACUGCGGUGAAUACGUUCCCGGGCCUUGUACACACCGCCCGU